rnacentral:rRNA from 1 species
ACAAAUUUUUUUUAUAGACUUUAAAAAUUAUAAGGUGGAAUUAGAAUUUUUUGUGAAGUUUUGUUUGUAAUUUUAAAUUUUGAUUGAACGAACUAGAGUAGAACCUAGUUAGACAAAUAUUAAAAGAGCAGAAGUAAAGUUGUAUUUAAACUGAAAGGAUAUUGGCAGGUGAUCUAAAUUAUCUUUGGAGGCUGAGUAGUAAUUGAGAACCCUCAUUAGCUACUUUAUCUAUUUUCGCAUGUAUGAUCGUUUAUUUAAAUCUUAAAGGUAGUAAUUAAAGAUUGUGUUUUCUAUAAAAACAGAUAAAUACCUGGUAUAUGAUUAAAGUAAAAUUUGGCCUACAUUAUUUUAUAAUGUGGAUAAUAUUUUUGGCAA